UCUGAGCUAACAGCUCCUCAUACAGGAACAGAUCCGGACAUACUUGGAGAUAGGUAUGGGGGGAAAGAAGUCCAGAUCCAGGAAAAUUAAAGAACUUAAACCAGUACAGAUGAAGAUAGGAUAUAGACAGCCAUUGCUCCAGGUGCUACUGCAAAUAGAGGGGUCCUUACUUGAGGGUAAGGAGGGGAUUUCGUCAGUUGUGGGGGCAUGCCAUCUGUGUGCCUUCAUCCUCUGUUGCCCCAAUGACUUUCUACUUAGAAACAUAAAUGAUCUUUCACAUGCAUUGGUCUAAUGCAAUGGGGACAUCCAGUGAAUAGGUAGGCUAUGAACAAAGUUAUAUUCAGAACUGAAUCUGUAAGGAGCUUGCAAAUAAUUAGACACAGAAUCCUUCCAAGCAAAUGACUCAGAUAUCUUUAUUGUCGCAGGGUAUGCUUAAUGCACUGUCUUCCAGUGGUCACACAGCAUAUAGCAAAGAGAAAAAACUCUCUUUCAGAGUCUUCCAGAUCAAGUUUGCUCAACUUACAAGGCAAAAGAUAGGGUUUCCAUCCACCAGCCCUGCAAACUGAGAGCUGAAAAAUUGAUCUGUGCUCUUUCUGCUUCGCAUAUCAGCACCGAAAGGAAGAGCACCAAUGGGGUGGAGGAAAGGAUUUGCUGGAAUCAUUUGUGUUUCUGCGGAGGACAUAACUACUUGCCCAAAGGGGAAACUUACCGAGUAUGCUCUGCAGCUUCCUAAAGCCGGUGUAGAAAGUCAUCAUUAAGGCCAGAUUCUCAGCAACCAUACAAACUAAGCAGAGGAAGUCACUCAGAUCUGUGCAAAUGGAUAAGGCUAAAAGGAUUCAUAGCUUCUGCUCACUGCUUUCAGAAGGAACUGAGGCAGCAACGGACACCACACCCUUUUUUAUAGCCACACCCUUAGAACGCACUAAAAUGCUGCGGGGAAGAGCGAGGCACCAUAACCAGCACUGUUACUAGAAGGUUCCACCAUCCUGGCUGCACCUGAUUGGCACAUGACUAGUUUGUGACAAUGCAGAGUCCAUCUCAAAGAACUUUGA